rnacentral:tRNA from 2 species
GCGGUCGUGGCGGAACUGGCAGACGCGUACGUUUGAGGGGCGUAUGGUUACACCGUAUGGGUUCAAGUCCCAUCGACCGCACCA